rnacentral:sRNA from 1 species
UGAAAUGCAAGCGACUGUCCACAUGCCAUCUGAGAAGGGUUUAGAGGUCCCAAAGUCCCCAGAGUGAUGAAUAAUUUAUGGGUGCUAUUUUGUCUGUGUUCAAGGCUGUCGUCCAUCCAUUCAUCCAUCUUCCUUCCUUCCUUCUUUCCGUCUAUCCAUCCUUGUUUUUAUGAGACAGAAUCUCACUCUGGAGCCCAGACUAAGCUGGAACUCACUAUGUAACCCAGGCUGGACCUUGAAUUAGGGAAUUAUCCUGCUUCAGCUUCCAAAAAGCUGGGAUUAUAAAGUUGAACCAGCAGAUGAGGGGAGUGGAGCACAGAGAGGAGAAGACAGCUGCCUAAGUUGCUCACUGGGAUCUGGCCAGAGGCAGAAUGGACUGGACUCCCGACUCCUGUUCUUAGCGGCUACACCGUUCAGCUGUGGCAUCUAUCCCAGUCCACUGAGUAGCUGAUCUUUUCAUUUGGAUCUCACAGUGUUAAUAUCUCAGGUUUCUCCCCUAUCCCAGGACAGGGACUUGCUAUGUAGCCCAGACUGGCCUCCAGGUCCCAUGCCCCUGCCUGCCUCCACCUCCCAAGUGCCUCAGACUUUUCACGGGCAGAGCUGUGUUGGUUAGAGGGAAGCUUCUCCUACCUCUUCGUGGUUCUUCUUGAGGCAGACGUGGAGAAGCAAGGGCAGCUUUUUCCAAGGACGGAAGGCAUAGUUCAGUGUUCGCUUCCUCCAGAGCUUUCACAUUAUCCAGGGGCUGAUCCAGUGUCACAGGCUAAGUGAGACAGAGACAGGCCCUGUCUUCCUGGUUUACUAUGCAGGUGGAUGAAGGACUAUUAGCUACGGAAACAGGAUCUUACUAUUGACCAGGCCUGGAAUUUGCCAUGUAUCUCAGGCUGAUCAAAGAAGGCAAUGCCAAACACCCGAGGCUGGCUGUUUUAUAAAGAAAAGAGAUCUCUCUAACUGACAGUUUUGGAAACUGAGAAUCUGUGAUUGGGCAGCACCAUCUUUUCAGCUUCUGGUGACGGUCCCUUUGUCUUCAUCACAAUGUGGUAGAGAAACGGGAAGGGAAAAGCUUCUGAAGAAGAAGCAAAUACUUGGGGAUGGCUUUGCUUUAAAACAGCCCUUCCACAAGAGCUGAUUGGGUCCCACAAGCAAAACUGUGUGAGUCCUUUUUGAGGCAGAGUCCCUAAUGAACACUGAGCCAAUUGCCUUCCGCGGCGUGUAACCUCUGAAAGGUUCCACUCCCUCAAAGCCAUCACCUGGAGACCAAGUUUCCAGCACAGAAACCUCAAGACAUACGCAAACCACAUUCAAACUUUAGCAACUGGAGAGGGGAGACCAAUGUACAGAAUUUUAAAAUAGGUAGAUGCCGUUCAAAUCCAGAAACCAGCCACAGGGACUGGGCUCAACGGAUAUGGGCUAUGGAACGAGGAACAAGUGGACCAUGAUGUUAAGUGGACAUGGAAUCGUGAUGUCGGAGGUGAGAGAAAUGGACCUGCAGCCAGUUGCUGAUAUCCUUUGAUGAUGGGCUGACAAGAGUAUGUGGUAAGGGGCAUUUGGGUGCCAUCUUCUGUAAAAGCAUUUUAGCAUAUCACAAAACAAAACCAAUGAGACCCUACAUCAAACAAAGUUGAAGGUUAGGGUUGACACUGGAAGUUGUCUUCUGACCUCUAUAUGGAGGGCAUAGCAUUGCACAGAUACAGACAUAGACACACAGACACACACAACACACACACACACACACACACACACACACACACAAAUAAAUUGAAAAAGAAUUAAGUGUCACAAAGCUGGACGUAGCAUUGUGGAUGGACGGAAGAUGGGUUUAUUUGUAUUAUCUGUCUUAAAGUUCAUAGAUGGGGUGUGUGGAGUGGAAGCGAAAGGAAAGAUUCAGGGUGACACCAGAGGAGGGAGAGAAGACAGAAGCUGAAAACUGGGAGGAGAGAGUGCACCAGUAGGGAGAGAGACAGGGACAGGGACUAAUGAGGGGCUUCUGACAGAUGUUACUGCUAGGACAUCUAGAGGAAAGACACAUUGAAUAGUUAAUGCUGUAAGGCAGAUUCUCCAUUAAAUGCUCUCUCUCUCUCUCUCUCUCUCUCUCUCUCUCUCUCUCUCUCUCCC